AUCGAACGCUGGCGGCAGGCCUAACACAUGCAAGUCGAGCGGGGUUUUCGGACCUAGCGGCGGACGGGUGAGUAAUGCGUAGGAAGCUACCCGAUAGAGGGGGAUACCAGUUGGAAACGACUGUUAAUACCGCAUAAUGUCUACGGACCAAAGUGUGGGACCUUCGGGCCACAUGCUAUCGGAUGCGCCUACGUGGGAUUAGCGAGUUGGUGAGGUAAUGGCUCACCAAGGCGACGAGCCCUAGCUGGUUUGAGAGGAUGAUCAGUCACACUGGAACUGAGACACGGUCCAGACUCCUACGGGAGGCAGCAGUGGGGAAUAUUGGACAAUGGGCGCAAGCCUGAUCCAGCCAUGCCGCGUGUGUGAAGAAGGCCUUCGGGUUGUAAAGCACUUUCAGUAAGGAGGAAGAGUUGUGUGUUAAUAGUACACAGCUUUGACGUUACUUACAGAAGAAGCACCGGCUAACUCUGUGCCAGCCGCCGCCGUAAUAC
rnacentral:rRNA from 1 species